UACGUAGGGUGCAAGCGUUAAUCGGAAUACUGGGCGUAAAGCGUGCGCAGGCGGUUAUGUAAGACAGAUGUGAAAUGCCCGGGCUUAACCUGGGAACUGCAUUUGUGACUGCAUGGCUAGAGUUUGGCAGAGGGGGGUAGAAUUCCACGUGUAGCAGUGAAAUGCGUAGAUAUGUGGAGGAACACCGAUGGCGAAGGCAGCCCCCUGGGUCAAGACUGACGCUCAUGCACGAAAGCGUGGGGAGCAAACAAGG
rnacentral:rRNA from 1 species